rnacentral:lncRNA from 13 species
UGGGGCACAGCGGUUGUUUGCAGGGGCAUUUUAGAAGGAUGCCAUACUUGCUGGGGCACAGCGGUCGGUUGCUUCUGCUGCAGGGUAAUUUGAGCAGGAUGCCACACUUGCUGAGGCAAGGCGGUCGGUUGCUUCUGCAGCAUUUGAUUAGGAUGCCAAACUUGCUGGGGCACAGCGGUCGGUUGCUUCUGCUGCAGGGGAAUUUGAGCUGGAUGCCACACUUGCUGGGGCACGGCGGUCGGUUGCUUAUGCAUCAGCAUGUGAGCUUGAUGCCACACUUGCUGGGGCACGGCAGUCGGUUGCUUAUGCGUCAACAUGUGAGCUUGAUGCCACACUUGCUGGGGCACGGCAGUCGAUGGUUGCGUCAGCAUGUGAGCUUGAUGCCACACCUGCUGGGGCACAGUUGUCGGUUGCCUCUGCGGCUGAGCUUCUGCGGCUGGUUGCUUCUGAUGCAGGGGCAUUUGAACUGGAUACCACACUUGCUGAGGUUGCUGGGACAUGGGGGCCAAGUCCUUCCGCAGGAUGGCGGCCGGAUGUUUCUGUUGCGCUUGCAUUUGAGAUUUUGGAGACUUAUAAUUGCUAUAUCCUAGAGACCGAAGUGAUCCUGCGUCAAGCCAUGCUGCAUUAGAAUCCAGUGCAGGAGACCAAUCACCUAGGUUAAAAAUAUAAACUGUAAAAUGCCAGCCUUUGAAGGUUAUGGAACUGCGUAGCUGUUAUUUGAAAUGAACUCACCUUCUGAUGUAGAACACGUUAUCCCUCCAAUUAGCAGGCAACAAAGCCAAGAAACGCUUGAGGAAAGAGAAUGUAUGUUAUAAACAUAGAUACCUGUAACACCUGAAGGACAAGGGAAACAAACUAAAUCAAUACUUAAAAACAUACCUGAAAGCGAUUCCAAUCAUCACAGCCAUUUUGCCCUCAAAACCUCACCAGUAUUCAGCACUAAUGGUAGGCAUACAUCCUACCAGAAUAUCCCUUUUACUAUAUUUGCCAGAUGUUUGGUUGCUCCUUUUAAAGGAAUCCCAGACCCUUCUAAUGUUGUUGGCUAAUAAGGACAGCUGUCAGCCACUGAACUACAUU